GUCAGGACACUUGUAUUCUGAGAAGAGCUGUUCUCGGCAGCAUCCAUCAGGAUUACAUGAAACUAAGCAGAUAAGCUGUUUGCUAAAUACAGACAAGCUAGGUAUAAACAAGCCAAGGGAUCCUCAAACUGGAUUUUCCGAAUGAACAAAUGUAGCAUUUUAAAGGAACACUAUGGGAACCAUAAAAUAGUGACCAGAAUUAAGCUGUUGUGGUGCCCUUGGUGUGGACUUACCUUAAACGGUUCAACCCCAAAGUCUUGAAUCCAGCACCGCUUUGCUCUGCCCCUGUCCAUCUGCUUCUCUAAAAGUCUUGAGCCAGGAAGACUUGGACAGGGGCAUGCGUACUGGCUUAGAGAGUGAGCUG